AUGGCGAUAUCACGUUGAAACACUGGUUUUCGUACGAUCACCGAAGUUAAGCAACGUCAAGCCUGGUCAGUACCUAAAUGGGUGACCGCUUCGGAAUACAAGAUGCUGUAA